GUGGGGUAAUGGCCUACCAAGGCGACGACGGGUAGCCGGCCUGAGAGGGCGACCGGCCACACUGGGACUGAGACACGGCCCAGACUCCUACGGGAGGCAGCAGUGGGGAAUAUUGCACAAUGGGCGAAAGCCUGAUGCAGCGACGCCGCGUGAGGGAUGACGGCCUUCGGGUUGUAAACCUCUUUCAGCAGGGAAGAAGCGAAAGUGACGGUACCUGCAGAAGAAGCGCCGGCUAACUACGUGCCAGCAGCCGCGGUAAUACGUAGGGCGCAAGCGUUGUCCGGAAUUAUUGGGCGUAAAGAGCUCGUAGGCGGCUUGUCACGUCGGGUGUGAAAGCCCGGGGCUUAACCCCGGGUCUGCAUCCGAUACGGGCAGGCUAGAGUGUGGUAGGGGAGAUCGGAAUUCCUGGUGUAGCGGUGAAAUGCGCAGAUAUCAGGAGGAACACCGGUGGCGAAGGCGGAUCUCUGGGCCAUUACUGACGCUGAGGAGCGAAAGCGUGGGGAGCGAACAGGAUUAGAUACCCUGGUAGUCCACGCCGUAAACGUUGGGAACUAGGUGUUGGCGACAUUCCACGUCGUCGGUGCCGCAGCUAACGCAUUAAGUU
rnacentral:rRNA from 1 species